rnacentral:rRNA from 1 species
CCUACGGGAGGCAGCAGUGGGGAAUAUUGGGCAAUGGGCGCAAGCCUGACCCAGCAACGCCGCGUGAAGGAAGAAGGCUUUCGGGUUGUAAACUUCUUUUGAGAGGGACGAGCAGAGGACCGUACCUUUUGAAUUAGCCCCGGCGAACUACGUGCCAGCAGCCGCCGUAAUACGGUAGUGGCAAGCGUUGUCCGGAUUUACUGGGUGUAAAGGGCGUGCAGGCGGGAAGACAAGUCAGAUGUGAAAUCCCGCGGCUCAACCCGGGAACUGCAUUUGAAACUGGUUUUCUUGAGUUACGGAGAGGUAGACGGAAUUCCUGGUGUAGCGGUGAAAUGCGUAGAUAUAAGGAAGAACACCAGUGGCGAAGGCGGAUUACUGGACAGCAACUGACGGUGAGGCGCGAAAGCGUGGGGAGCAAACAGGAGUAGAUACCCUGGUAGUC